GUGAAUUUGCUUGAAUUAUUUACUAUCCUCUGUUUGCUUUCUUUUUUUUCUCGCAUGCACCAAUUUUUGGGGCUUGUGUAGAAUCCAAUGCAGGUGCCUGCACACACAUAUACUUGUAAUAUAAGAUAGAUUUGAUGUUACUUCUACUUAUACAUAUGCCUCCCGUGUUACUGGAGUUCUUUGUUGUUUUAAUUGCUCAAAAGUAUUUUUCCAUACAAUGUUGUGGUGAUAUAGCUUGCAAAACAACAUAUGUGAAGCGAACCCAUCAUUGCAAACAUACAGUCUAACCGCAUUGUUCGCCAGAAUUAACACAAGAACAGAUCUCGAUUUAUGCAAGCUAAUAAAGAAUAAGAAAAAACACUUAUAUAUGCUGUUACCAGCAAUGUGAGAAUAAAAGUACAACCACAGCUAUCAGCUGUUACUGUGAAGAAGUUUGUUGUAUUAAGCAGUUCGAACGUUUACUAAAUAUGUCAUGUCAACCAACAGGUAGGAAUUAUAGGAAUGACUCAAGUGCCAAAAACUCAUAGUGUUGUCACUAAUGAUAUUAUAUUGUAACCAUCAUACAUCAGUCACCAACUUCUCAAGCAUUACUAGAGGUUUUUCUUCAGCCAGUGUCAUCAUGUCUUUGUCUUAGAGCAAACAUGCUGUAGCAUAGAAAUAUUUACAGAUUAUUUUAUUUCAAAUGCCACACUUUCUUAUGGGCAGGUAAGAAUUCAUCUCUUGCACGAAACUGACUACAAAAAACAGGCCUAAUAGUUAAAAUACUGAACUUCAAAAUUUAGCAGCACUAGGAUGACAAAUAGCAGAAAAUCUUUAUAAAGAAGAACCAGAGAAUUGGCAUCACUAUAUGUUGGACAAAGAAUUAUAAUGUGAUGUCUGACAAAAAAAAAAUACUGCAGGUCACUAGUUAGUCCAUAUGAUACCUAGAUAGUGUAACUUUGCUGCUGACUGAAGUCACCCAAUAGCCUUAAUACUUGAUAAGAGACAUCCAUCUCUAUCGAACUUAUUCUUAGAAUAAUGAUUUAAAAUAUGAGGAUUUUCCGUGAACUACGAGGUGAACCCGUGAAGGCAUUCUCUGCAAUGUUGAUUGGCAGAAGCAAGUGAUGCACUCAACCUCCAUCAAUUUCUAUAUAUUGGCCAAAACAUAAGAUGGUUAGAAACUACAGCUAUUAUAUUGGAGUACAUAAAACAUUUUCUCUUGCGGCUAUGGCCUCUGGCAAAUGGCAGCUGCAACACUUUUUUACUACAUUUAUUUACUACAUUUAUUAUUUGGAGUAACUCUAUCUUGUUUAAAAGUUCUGUUUACAAUGUCACCUUCAACUGUCAAGCAGAAAAAAGAGUUUACAUAUUCCUUUUGAUUCAAUGCUUUAUAAAUUCCAAUGAUAUUGCUAAUAUUCACUUUGCCUGAAGCACAAACUAUUCUAAGGUAGUAGAGGACCUGUCUGAAUAGCAAAUGGCAGGCAAGGAAAAAUGCCACAUACAUCUCCUUGACAUGCAACGGAAGCAGGAAUUAGCCUCCAAAAGUUAGAUGCUAGCAGUACACCAACAACUGAAAUAUUUAGACAUCACACCCCCACUACAGCAUGGCAUUUUUCAUCUAUGCUAGAAGGAAAACCAAAAUCACAAAUUCCAUCACCUGAGACUUCCGCGCCGCCCAACUGAUCAUCACCAGGUGGAAUCAUGGCAAUUUGUAAGUAUAGUCACUACUGCAAUCAGCGCAUCACGGAUUCAGGAUUACAUUGCACUCCUCUGAACUUAACAACGAAGAAGGUGAAGAAGAUUUAACUAGCCUCGGUAAAUAAUAGCAACAUUGCCCUAGUUUCGGGAUGGAUCACAUUGAAACUUGAGGACGGCGUUAUACCUACCGGCAACUCACCGGUGCUCGACCACCUCGCCGGCGAAGCGCUCGAGGGGGCUCUCGGCAUUCGGGAUUUCGGGUCCACCACAGCUUCCUCCGCCUGAUCUCCCCCGUCCGCCUUGUCCGUUCCAUCUCCUUCUCCCUCCGCUCCUCCCAGACGUCCACGCCGGAAACCACGCCGCCGAAAUGCGUCCGGCCGCCGCCGGUGGCCGUGCGGGGAGAGAGGGGGAGGAGAGGGCGGCGCCUUCGGUUGGGAGGCCCGCAAU
rnacentral:lncRNA from 1 species